rnacentral:rRNA from 1 species
UACGGAGGGUGCGAGCGUUAAUCGGAAUUACUGGGCGUAAAGCGCAUGCAGGUGGUUUGUUAAGUCAGAUGUGAAAGCCCGGGGCUCAACCUCGGAAUAGCAUUUGAAACUGGCAGACUAGAGUACUGUAGAGGGGGGUAGAAUUUCAGGUGUAGCGGUGAAAUGCGUAGAGAUCUGAAGGAAUACCGGUGGCGAAGGCGGCCCCCUGGACAGAUACUGACACUCAGAUGCGAAAGCGUGGGGAGCAAACAGGAUUAGAUACCCGGGUAGUCC